CCAUCAUCUUUGAAUCCUUUAAAACUUACCAGGCACUCUCUAUGUGGGAAGAUGGUGCCCAAACACAUCUGCAUGUCAUAUUGCCUGGUUGGCUGUAGCAGGACUGGGAUGACGUAGGCUGGGGCCAGUGAGAUUGGGCCCAGAUAAUAGGCCAGCAAAUGGACUUUCUCCUUUAAGAGGAAUGAUUAGAGUCUGGCCUGGCUUCACUGCUCCACAUCCUCCUAUCAGCUUUCACUGAGGUUUUGCUGAGUCAUUGGGUGAGAUGUGGCCUCUUCUAAGCUGCACAGGCACAUUCUGAGUCCCUUUGUUCUGCUAGGGGUCCCUCUGUGAGCAAAGCCUGGGAAGCCAGGUGCCUCCCUCUGCAAAAGGGGAAAGUUUGUGCAGACAGGGAGGGCAGGGCCUCCUGUGUGGAGGAGAGGAGGGGAGCCUGGCAGAAAGAGCAGAGGAACUGGAGGGAGAGCCAGGCUGCAUUCCAGCCCUCCCGCUUACUGGCUGUGUGAGCAUGAGGAAGGUGCUUCCCCUGUGUGUGCCUCAGUUUCCCUUGUGAUGCACGGGCCUGAAGAAGAUCUCUGCCUAGAUGAAGUCCAGCUGCUUCCUCCGAAAGACCCGUGUUUCUAUAUGUGGCCUUGUGGGGCAACAAGUAGGGAUUUUAAGGCCAGAAAAUCAGAGCAAAGGGUCAGAGGGGCAACCGAUGUCCGUGGCCCUGGAGAACAGCUGGACCUCCGUGCACCCAGAACCAGCUGUCUUGCUUCUUUCUCCUUUUUUUCACUUUCUUCUCCUGCCUCAGAUGCCUUAUUGGCCCCCUUUUCUCACUCCCUACCCGCUUUUCACUAGGAUGUUUAAAUCUUCAGCUCCCUACUUCUCUUCACUGAAGUCUGUCCCCGCUCCCACCCAUCCCCAUUAUUCUCCCUGCACUGAAGCCACCCAGUCCAUCCUUCCCUUCAGUGGUUGCUCUGUUGAGGAGCCCGACCACCCCCCUGGCCUGGAGAGCUGAGCCCUGAGCCCCCAGCACUGCCCUGAAGAGCCGUAUCGGCCUGGUGUGCAGUGCCUGCUCCCCCACUGUGGCCCUGCCCUGCCUGAUCCUCAGUAAAGCCUUAAUGACACCUGCUGUGUCUUGUCUUCUUCCUUCUGGCCACGUGGACUCACGAUUGACCGUGUUGGGGGUGUGGGUGUGUCCAUUUUUCCUUCUGUUGUCCAUUGCAGGGGCUGGGUGAAUGGGGAUGGGUGCGUAUGUGUGUGGUGGGGGGAACAGG
rnacentral:lncRNA from 1 species